UACGAAGGGGGCUAGCGUUGCUCGGAAUCACUGGGCGUAAAGGGCGCGUAGGCGGCCAUUCAAGUCGGGGGUGAAAGCCUGUGGCUCAACCACAGAAUUGCCUUCGAUACUGUUUGGCUUGAGUUUGGUAGAGGUUGGUGGAACUGCGAGUGUAGAGGUGAAAUUCGUAGAUAUUCGCAAGAACACCAGUGGCGAGGGCGGCCAACUGGACCAAUACUGACGCUGAGGCGCGAAAGCGUGGGGAGCAAACAGG
rnacentral:rRNA from 1 species